rnacentral:rRNA from 1 species
CCUACGGGAGGCAGCAGUGGGGAAUAUUGCACAAUGGGGGAAACCCUGAUGCAGCGACGCCGCGUGAGUGAAGAAGUAUUUCGGUACGUAAAGCUCUAUCAGCAGGGAAGAAAAAAAGUCCUUUGGACUUUGGACGGUACCUGACCAAGAAGCCCCGGCUAACUACGUGCCAGCAGCCGCGGUAAUACGGAGGGGGCAAGCGUUAUCCGGAUUUACUGGGUGGAAAGGGGGCGCAGACGGCGAGGCAAGCCAGGAGUGAAAGCCCGGGGCCCAACCCCGGGACUGCUCUUGGAACUGCGUGGCUGGAGUGCAGGAGGGGCAGGCGGAAUUCCUGGUGUAGCGGGGAAAUGCGUAGAUAUCAGGAGGAACGCCGGUGGCGAAGGCGGCCUGCUGGACUGCAACUGACGUUGAGGCCCGAAAGCGUGGGGAGCAAACAGGAUUAGAUACCCUUGUAGUC